GCUCUGUUUUUCUCAAUAAUUCCGCCCUAUAUUGGGGGUGCCGGCUUGCCGGCUAUGGAAAUAAAUUGCCGUCGCAAUAAACCAUUCGGACCCGGGGGCAGCACCCGGCGCCUCCACCAAAGCCCGCCGCAAAGGACACGGGCUUCGGCGGGGGCGAAACAGGAUCGACGAGGGCGUAAAGGGCGUGUUUUUUCUCGGUAUGGUUCCGCCGUUAUCGGGCUAUGCAAUAGUUGCAAACGACAACUAUGCUCCGGUUGCUCAGGCUGCGUAACGCAGUUUGAAAGACCAUCUUGAAGUCCUAACGGGUUAAGCUCCGUUAGGCGGGGUUCGGAGGCACCUGGCAACAGAAGCCUCCACU
rnacentral:tmRNA from 1 species